rnacentral:rRNA from 1 species
AUUGAACGCUGGCGGCAGGCCUAACACAUGCAAGUCGAGCGAGCGGCGGACGGGUGAGUAAUGUAUGGGGACUGCCCGCUAGAGGGGGAUAACUACUGGAAACGGUGGCUAAUACCGCAUACUAUCGGAUAACCCAUAUGGGAUUAGCUAGUAGGUGGGGUAAAGGCUCACCUAGGCGACGAUCUCUAGCUGGUCUGAGAGUCUGAUAAGCCACAAUGGGACUGAGACACGGUCCAGAUUACUACGGAGGCAGAAGUGGGGAAUAGAGGACAAUGGGAGCGAGCCUGAUGCAGCCAGGCCGCGUGUAUGAAGAAGGCCUUAGGGUGGUAAAGUAGUUUCAGCGGGGAGGCGUUACCCGCAGAAGAAGCACCGGCUAACUCCGUGCCAGCAGCCGCGGUAAUAC